AUUGAACGCUGGCGGCAGGCUUAACACAUGCAAGUCGAGCGGGGGGAGGUAGCUUGCUACCUAACCUAGCGGCGGACGGGUGAGUAAUGCUUAGGAAUCUGCCUAUUAGUGGGGGACAACAUUUCGAAAGGGAUGCUAAUACCGCAUACGCCCUAAGGGGGAAAGCAGGGGAUCUUCGGACCUUGCGCUAAUAGAUGAGCCUAAGUCGGAUUAGCUAGUUGGUGGGGUAAAGGCCUACCAAGGCGACGAUCUGUAGCGGGUCUGAGAGGAUGAUCCGCCACACUGAGACGGAGACACGGCCCAGACUCCUACGGGAGGCAGCAGUGGGGAAUAUUGGACAAUGGGGGGAACCCUGAUCCAGCCAUGCCGCGUGUGUGAAGAAGGCCUUUUGGUUGUAAAGCACUUUAAGCGAGGAGGAGGCUACCGAGAUUAAUACUCUUGGAUAGUGGACGUUACUCGCAGAAUAAGCACCGGCUAACUCUGUGCCAGCAGCCGCCGUAAUAC
rnacentral:rRNA from 1 species